CCUGCCGCUCAUCAGGCCCCACCUCACCUGUCCAGCCCUCUCAGUUGUUCUCUGCCUCCUCACCAGCAACCUGGAAUCCUGCCAGAUCAAGCUCCUCCGUGUGUGGAGAAUCUGCCUGCUCAUUCUGCCUCCACCACCACCUCAGCAGUGCCCACUGCCUGCUCUCCACGCUCCAGUUUGCUUACCCGUUCCGACAUCCCCCCCCCCCCCCCAAACAGGCAGCUCGCAAGACUACCGGACCCAGUAUGGUCUCCCUACUUUGAACAUCCUUGGUGCUCCCAUUCGCACAUUCCGUGGCAAAGCCAGAUGAAGAAACGGAGGCUCAGAGAAGUUAUGACAUCAGGUUGGAUGGAGAGCCAUGGGAGUGUAGAGAGAGGCAGAAGGGACCUAGACUAGGAGCUCCGUUGAGGUUCAGAAGGCCCCAUCUCUGGUCUGCAGCUUCACACAAAAUGGAAAGGAGCAGAGAAACCAUAUGUUGACAACAAGGCACAUUAACUUGUUCCAGGAGCUAACGUUAUCAGAAUGGAGGAGAAUGGAAUCUCUACUGAGGUGAGGUAUAUAAGUGAUGGGUCCCCAUAAUUAUUCCAUGAAGACUUGACUGGUAAUUAACCUGAGGAGGAAAAAUGAAUUAAUGGACAGUGAAAAACACUGACGAAUCUGUUACCUAAGGUGUGUCCCAAAAUUGCUGCCAAUUGACA